rnacentral:snoRNA from 1 species
UAGACCAAUGGUGAGAGCGUGUCAUGAACCAAAGAUUAUGAUUAAUUCAACUCUGUACAUCUGAGUUAAUU